GAGACCCACGCCAACAGUUGCCAGCUCGUCCUCCGGGAUGAUGGGGACACUGUUGGGACCGCCUCUGCUAAAGAGGAGGAAGGAAUGGGCAACGGUAGGUCAGCAUGCCCCGAAUUACCCGGGCUACACGCGGGCUACAAUGGACAGGACAAUGGGAAUCGACACCGAGAGGUGAAGGCAAUCCCCUAAACCUGCCCUUAGUUCGGAUUGUGGGCUGCAACUCGCCCACAUGAAGCUGGAAUCCGUAGUAAUCGCGGAUCAACAUUCCGCGGUGAAUAU
rnacentral:rRNA from 1 species